GACGAACGCUGGCGGCGUGCCUAAUACAUGCAAGUAGGACGCAGUUGCGAACGGGUGAGUAACGCGUAGGUAACUACCUAUUAGAGGGGGAUAACUAUUGGAAACGAUAGCUAAUACCGCAUACUAGUAGAUGGACCUGCGUUGUAUUAGCUAGUAGGUAGGGUAAUUGCCUACCUAGGCAACGAUACAUAGCCGACGUGGGCGGGUGAGCGGCGACACGGAGACUGUGAGACCGGCCAGACUGCUACGAUAGGCAGCGGUAGGGAAUCUGGGGCAAUGUGGGGAAUCCUGACCGAGCAAUGCCGCGUGAGUGAAGAGGGUGUUCGAAUCGUACGGCUUGGUAGGUACUGAAGCGGUACUUAACCAGAAAGGGACGGCUAACUACGUGCCAGCAGCCGCGGUAAUUC
rnacentral:rRNA from 1 species